rnacentral:rRNA from 1 species
GACGAACGCUGGCGGCGUGCUUAACACAUGCCAGUCGAACGGAAAGGCCCUGCUUGCAGGGUACUCGAGUGGCGAACGGGUGAGUAACACGUGGGUGAUCUGCCCUGCACUUCGGGAUAAGCCUGGGAAACUGGGUCUAAUACCGGAUAGGAGCCAUUUUUAGUGUGAUGGUUGGAAAGUUUUUUCGGUGUAGGAUGAGCUCGCGGCCUAUCAGCUUGUUGGUGGGGUAAUGGCCUACCAAGGCGGCGACGGGUAGCCGGCCUGAGAGGGUGGACGGCCACAUUGGGACUGAGAUACGGCCCAGACUCCUACGGGGGGCAGCAGUGGGGAAUAUUGCACAAUGGGCGCAAGCCUGAUGCAGCGACGCCGCGUGGGGGAUGACGGCCUUCGGGUUGUAAACUCCUUUCGCUAGGGACGAAGCUUUUUGUGACGGUACCUAGAUAAGAAGCACCGGCUAACUACGUG